rnacentral:rRNA from 1 species
AGGACGAACGCUGGCGGCGUGCUUAACACAUGCAAGUCGAACGAGGGUAGCAAUACCCUAGUGGCGGACGGGUGAGUAACGCGUAGGUAACCUGCCUCAUAGUGGGGGAUACCCAGCCGAAAGGUUGGCUAAUACCGCAUAAGCUGUUGGAUUGAGAUGUCCAUCAGGAAAGAUUUAUCGCUAAGAGAGGGGUCUGCGUUCGAUUAGCUAGUUGGUGAGGUAAUGGCUCACCAAGGCGACGAUCGAUAGCUGGUCUGAGAGGACGAUCAGCCACACUGGAACUGAGACACGGUCCAGACUCCUACGGGAGGCAGCAGUGGGAAUUUCCGCAAUGGGCGAAAGCCUGACGGAGCAACGCCGCGUGGACGAUGACGGCUUUCGGGUUGUAAAGUCCUUUCAGCAGGACGAAAAAAAUGACGGUACCUGACAGAAGAAGCAUCGACUAACUACGUGCCAGCAGCCGAC